rnacentral:rRNA from 1 species
CAGUAGCCGCGGUAAUACGAAGGGUGCAAGCGUUAAUCGGAAUUACUGGGCGUAAAGCGUGCGUAGGCGGUUUGUUAAGUCUGCUGUGAAAUCCCCGGGCUCAACCUGGGAAUGGCAGUGGAUACUGGCAAGCUAGAGUGUGUCAGAGGAUGGUGGAAUUCCCGGUGUAGCGGUGAAAUGCGUAGAGAUCGGGAGGAACAUCAGUGGCGAAGGCGGCCAUCUGGGACAACACUGACGCUGAGGCACGAAAGCGUGGGGAGCAAACAGGAUUAGAGACCCGAGUAGUCCCUGUCUCUUAUAC